rnacentral:rRNA from 1 species
GACGAACGCUGGCGGCGUGCUUAACACAUGCAAGUCGAACGGAAAGGUCCUGCUUUUGUGGGGUGCUCGAGUGGCGAACGGGUGAGUAACACGUGAGUAACCUGCCCUUGACUUUGGGAUAACUUCAGGAAACUGGGGCUAAUACCGGAUAGGAGCUCCUGCUGCAUGGUGGGGGUUGGAAAGUUUCGGCGGUUGGGGAUGGACUCGCGGCUUAUCAGCUUGUUGGUGGGGUAGUGGCUUACCAAGGCUUUGACGGGUAGCCGGCCUGAGAGGGUGACCGGCCACAUUGGGACUGAGAUACGGCCCAGAAUCCUACGGGAGGCAGGAGUGGGGAAUAUUGCCCAAUGGGCGGAAGCCUGAUGCAGCAACGCCGCGUGCGGGAUGACGGCCUUCGGGUUGUAAACCGCUUUCGCCUGUGACGAAGCGUGAGUGACGGUAAUGGGUAAAGAAGCACCGGCUAACUACGUG